GACGAACACUGGCGGCGUGCUUAACACAUGCCAGUCGAACGGAAAGGCCCUGCUUUUGUGGGGUGCUCGAGUGGCGAACGGGUGAGUAACACGUGAGUAACCUGCCCUUGACUUUGGGAUAACUUCAGGAAACUGGGGCUAAUACCGGAUAGGAGCUCCUGCUGCAUGGUGGGGGUUGGAAAGUUUCGGCGGUUGGGGAUGGACUCGCGGCUUAUCAGCUUGUUGGUGGGGUAGUGGCUUACCAAGGCUUUGACGGGUAGCCGGCCUGAGAGGGUGACCGGCCACAUUGGGACUGAGAUACGGCCCAGACUCCUACGGGAGGCAGCAGUGGGGAAUAUUGCACAAUGGGCGGAAGCCUGAUGCAGCAACGCCGCGUGCGGGAUGACGGCCUUCGGGUUGUAAACCGCUUUCGCCUGUGACGAAGCGUGAGUGACGGUAAUGGGUAAAGAAGCACCGGCUAACUACGUG
rnacentral:rRNA from 1 species